GAUGAACGCUGGCGGCGUGCUUAACACAUGCAAGUCGAACGAGAAAUGUAGACGGAAACCUUCGGGCGGAAGCCUUCAUUUCGAGUGGCGGACGGGUGAGUAACGCGUGGGUAACCUGCCUCAUACAGGGGGAUAACAGUUGGAAACGACUGUUAAUACCGCAUAAGACCACAGCAUCGCAUGAUGCGGGGGUAAAAACUCCGGUGGUAUGAGAUGGACCCGCGUUCGAUUAGCCAGUUGGCGGGGUAACGGCCCACCAAAGCGACGAUCGAUAGCCGAUCUGAGAGGAGGACCGGCCACAUUGGGACUGAGACACGGCCCAAACUCCUACGGGAGGCAGCAGUGGGGAAUAUUGCACAAUGGGGGAAACCCUGAUGCAGCGACGCCGCGUGAGUGAAGAAGUACUUCGGUAUGUAAAGCUCUAUCAGCAGGGAAGAAAAUGACGGUACCUGAGGAAGAAGCCCCGGCUAACUACGUG
rnacentral:rRNA from 1 species